AAAUCGAUUUUUCGACGGAGUCCCCACUGCCGGCCUUGCCGACCAGAGGGACGAAGGAGUUGCAAUGUUUUUGCAACGUAUUUCAUAUCGUCCACGCAUCUCGUAAUUACUAUUGUAUCAAGAAACCAAGCGCGACCUCUAGAUUAUCUUAAUGGCCAAAGAAUUAACUAGUUCACGGAGUUUCUCUCGGAUCUCCCGCCUUGCACACUUUCCAGAUCACGUGACGGUGUAAGGAUCUCUAAACUCGAGAAUUUAUGUCAACAUGUUUCAUUCACGUUUUAUGACAUUACUGUUUUACUAAUGGGGAAAUAAUAAAUGAAAAAUAAGUAAUGUAUAAUUGCAUUGAAAUUUGAUUUUUGUCGACAAAUGUAAUAUAAUUAUAUUUUUUUUUUAAUUUCCAGUUAUGAAUCAUUAUAAAAAUUGUCCAUAUUCUUUUCAAUUGUAUUUUGUUUUCAUAUGUUGUAAUUGAAAACUAUAAAACAAGUGUAAUGUGUGAAUUUUAAAGCGACCUACGACAAUCUUUGACUUUCUUCGACUUAACCUAAUAAAUGUAUUCCACCGUUAUAAUA